CCUACGGGCGGCAGCAGUGAGGAAUAUUGGUCAAUGGGCGCGAGCCUGAACCAGCCAAGUAGCGUGAAGGAUGACUGCCCUACGGGUUGUAAACUUCUUUUAUAAGGGAAUAAAGUGAGGCACGUGUGCCUUUUUGUGUGUACUUUAUGAAUAAGGAUCGGCUAACUCUGUGCCAGCAGCGGCGGUAAUACGGAGGAUCCGAGCGUUAUCCGGAUUUAUUGGGUUUAAAGGGAGCGUAGAUGGGUUUUUAAGUCAGUUGUGAAAGUCUGCGGCUCAACCGUAGAAUUGCAAUUGAUACUGGAGGCCUUGAGUACAGUUGAGGUAGGCGGAAUUCGUGGUGUAGCGGUGAAAUGCUUAGAUAUCACGAAGAACUCCGAUUGCGAAGGCAGCUGACCAAACUGCAACUGACGUUGAUGCUCGAAAGUGUGGGUAUCAAACAGGAUUAGAUACCCUAGUAGUC
rnacentral:rRNA from 1 species